rfam:Nomascus leucogenys chromosome 13, whole genome shotgun sequence.
GCCAGGCGUGGUGACUCAUGCCUGUAAUCCCAGCACUUUGGGAGGCUGAGGUGGAUUGAUCACUUGAGGCCAGGAGUUCGAGACCAGUUUGGCCAACAUGGUGAAACCCUAUCUCUACUAAAAAUACAAAAAUUAGUUGGACGUGGUGGCAGGCAGCUGUAAUCCCAGCUACUCAGGAGGCUGAGGCCUCCUGAGUAGCUGGAAUUGCUUGAACCCAGGAGGCGGAGGUUGCAGUGAGCCGAGAUCGCAGCACUGCACUCCAGCCUGGGCAACAGAGGGAGAGUCCAUCUCAA